GGAAAAGAAAAAAAAAGUAUUUAUUUUUGCAUCCUACAAUGGACCUAUAUGUGCUGCUGCUUUUAUCAAUGGUCUGGCAAGUUCAAGCUGUGGAAGAGACGUUAAUGGAUACUCGGACAGCGACGGCAGAGCUGGGCUGGACGGCCAAUCCUUCUUCUGGGUGGGAAGAAGUAAGUGGAUAUGAUGAAAACCUCAACACAAUCCGUACAUACCAAGUGUGCAAUGUGUUUGAUCCCAACCAGAACAACUGGCUCCUCACAACCUUUAUUCCAAGACGUGGGGCCCAUCGUGUUUAUGUGGAGAUGCGGUUCACUGUUCGAGACUGUAGUAGCCUUCCAAAUGUGCCAGGAUCUUGCAAAGAGACCUUCAACUUGUACUAUUAUGAAACAGACUCAAAUGUGGCCCAUAAGAACUCUGCCUUCUGGAAUGAGUCCCCUUACCUUAAAGUGGACACCAUAGCUGCUGAUGAGAGUUUCUCACAAGUAGAUUUUGGUGGAAGACUGAUGAAGGUCAAUACUGAAGUACGUAGCUUUGGCCCGCUGACUCGCAGUGGCUUUUAUUUAGCCUUCCAGGAUUAUGGAGCAUGCAUGUCCCUUCUCUCUGUUCGGGUCUUCUUCAAGAAAUGUCCCAGUGUGGUUCAGAAUUUUGCCGUCUUCCCAGAAACCAUGACUGGGGCAGAGAGUACGUCCCUUGUUAUAGCACGUGGGAUCUGUAUCCCCAACGCCGAGGAAGUAGAUGUACCAAUUAAACUUUACUGCAAUGGAGAUGGAGAGUGGAUGGUUCCCAUUGGAAGAUGCACUUGCAAACCUGGAUAUGAACCUGAAAAUCACAUAAUUUGCAAAGCCUGCCCAGCUGCAAUGUUUAAAGCCAAUCAAGGCAUGGGAAUAUGCUCCCAGUGUCCUGCUAACAGUCGCUCCACUGGUGAGGGUUCUCCUAUCUGUACCUGUCGCAAUGGCUACUACCGAGCUGACUUUGACCCACCAGAGGCCAUGUGUACAAGUGUUCCCUCUGGUCCUCGUAAUGUUAUCUCCAUAGUCAAUGAGACAUCUAUCACCUUGGAGUGGCACCCACCUCGAGAAACAGGUGGCAGAGAUGAUGUCACCUACAACAUCAUUUGUAGAAAGUGCAGGUCUGACCGUCGCAGCUGUUCCCGGUGUGAUGACAACGUGGACUUUGUCCCACGGCAAAUGGGCUUGACUGACACACGUGUCUUCAUCAGCAACUUAUGGGCCCACACCCCUUACACCUUUGAGAUCCAAGCCGUCAAUGGAGUCACCAACAAAAGUCCCUUCCCACCUCAACACGUCUCCGUCAACAUCACUACCAACCAAGCAGCUCCGUCCACUGUUCCCAUAAUGCACCAGGUUAGGGCCACUAUGAAGAGCAUCACAUUAUCAUGGCCUCAGCCAGAGCAGCCCAAUGGAAUUAUCCUGGACUACGAAUUACGUUACUAUGAGAAGGAUCAAAAUGAAUUCAACUCUUCCAUGUCAAAAAGCCAAACAAACACUGCUAGCAUUGAAGGACUCAGACCAGGAAUUGUCUACGUGGUACAAGUCAGGGCUCGCACAGUUGCCGGUUAUGGAAAAUUCAGCGGAAAGAUGUGCUUCCAAACAUUGACUGAUGAGGAUUACAAAUCGGAGCUGAGAGAGCAACUUCCGCUGAUUGCCGGUUCUGCUGCUGCAGGGGUGGUCUUCAUUGUGUCUCUAGUGGCCAUCUCCAUUGUAUGCAGUCGGAAGAGGACCUACAGCAAAGAGGCAGUGUACAGUGAUAAACUGCAACAUUACAGCACUGGCAGAGGUUCUCCCGGGAUGAAGAUAUACAUUGAUCCAUUCACAUAUGAGGAUCCUAAUGAAGCUGUGAGAGAAUUUGCCAAAGAAAUUGAUGUCUCUUUUGUGAAGAUCGAGGAAGUGAUAGGGGCUGGAGAAUUUGGGGAAGUAUAUAAAGGUCGACUGAAACUCCCUGGAAAAAGGGAAAUCUAUGUUGCCAUCAAGACGCUGAAGGCUGGAUAUUCAGAAAAGCAGAGGCGAGACUUUCUGAGUGAAGCCAGCAUCAUGGGUCAGUUUGAUCACCCAAACAUCAUUCGUCUGGAAGGUGUUGUGACCAAAAGUCGCCCAGUUAUGAUCAUCACAGAGUUCAUGGAGAAUGGAGCACUGGAUUCCUUUCUACGGCAAAAUGAUGGUCAGUUCACUGUGAUUCAGUUGGUUGGGAUGCUGAGAGGAAUUGCAGCUGGAAUGAAGUACCUCUCCGAAAUGAACUAUGUGCAUCGUGACCUCGCAGCCCGAAAUAUCUUGGUGAACAGCAAUUUGGUCUGCAAAGUGUCGGAUUUUGGGCUGUCCCGUUAUCUGCAGGAUGACACUUCCGAUCCCACCUACACCAGCUCCUUGGGUGGCAAAAUACCAGUAAGAUGGACAGCCCCAGAAGCCAUUGCUUACCGCAAAUUCACAUCGGCCAGUGAUGUAUGGAGCUACGGUAUUGUCAUGUGGGAAGUGAUGUCAUUUGGAGAACGUCCGUACUGGGACAUGUCCAACCAAGAUGUCAUCAAUGCUAUUGAGCAAGAUUAUCGCUUGCCACCCCCUAUGGACUGUCCAGCUGCCCUUCAUCAGCUCAUGCUGGACUGCUGGCAGAAGGAUCGAAACAGCCGGCCACGCUUUGGGGAGAUUGUCAAUACCCUAGACAAGAUGAUCCGAAACCCUGCAAGCCUCAAGACAGUGGCCACCAUCCCUGCUGUGCCUUCCCAGCCGCUGCUUGAUCGCUCCAUCCCAGAUUUUACAGCUUUUACCUCAAUAGAUGAUUGGUUAAGCGCUAUCAAAAUGGGACAAUAUAGAGACAACUUUCUGAGUUCUGGCUUCACCUCUUUGCAGCUUGUUGCCCAGAUCACUACAGAGGACCUCCUGAGAAUAGGAAUAACAUUAGCUGGACACCAGAAAAAAAUCCUGAACUGUAUUCAAUCCAUGAGGGUCCAAAUUAGCCAGUCUCCCACAUCUAUAGCAUGAGACACUGGGGACAGUGAGGGUCAGGGAGUACUCGAGGGUGGGGAGAAGAGCUUGAUGAGGGAAUUGGAUUGGACAGUGGGCAGAAACUGACCUUGCAAUUCAGGAGAUAACAUUGUCAUGGAACUGUAGGCCUCCCAUCAACCUUGCAAGACUCAUAGACUGGAUAUCUAUUCCACAGUGGAGAAGAAUGGCGAUAUGAGAAGGAAAAUGGAUUUACUGGCAGAUAAUCUGCAUUCGUGUAUAUUUUCCAAUGAAAAUCAGUGUUUAUGGGAAAUUAUGGAAUGAGUAAUAGGUGUCUUGGCUUUUAGAAGGAAAUAAAGGUGCUUCAUUUUACCAUAAUACAAAUAGUGAAGGGAUUGCGGACGUCACAUUCAGUCAGCUUCACCCAUGCGUGGAUGUCCAGUUUACCCUCAUUUUUGACAUUGCUGCUGCAUCAGGGAGGCUGUCUGCGUACUUCCAUCUACUUUGAUUUUAAUUUUAUUUUAAUAUUUUUUUUGGGAUUGUCUUCAUAUUGAAGAUGAGGUUGUAUGGAAGAACAACCAUUCUUUUUUUUUUUGUUGUUGUUUUUUUUUCUUCUUUUGCUUGCAUUUUUUUGGCAAAAAAAAGAGAGAAAAAUAUCUUAUAAAAAGUCAGGUAGAAAACCUGACAAUAUGUCUGCCUUUGUGUCUUGUAUGUUAAAAAAUAAUAAAAAAAUCACAGAGCUGUGGAUUCAGUAUUUGUAUAUAGAGAGAAUGAGGGAUUGACAGAUCACAUGGACAAGACAUGGAGGACCUUGCCGAGUUCUCCUCUUCUUUACGGAACUUUAAUUGGUGUUCUAACAGACUUGCCUAGGAAUCUCAGGACAGAAACUUACUGGUUACAGAUGGGGACAAUGAGGACAUCUGCGUUGGUCGAUUCAACACAACUUCUGGAAGGUUAUAUGGCAUAAUUUUCACUGGGCUUGUGUGCUUUACGUAAAGACCAUCGUUGUGUCACUAUGGAAUUAUUUAACAUUGAUGUUGGCAGUGGAAUCCUCUAGUUAAACGGGAAUGGCCCAGUGACCGAUUGUAAUGCCAACAGCUGCCACCCAAUAAUUCACCUGGGUCAAUAUGUCGACUGAAAAGAUUAAUGAAUGGCCCCUUUAUGCCUGCUUUCUGCCCUCUUGCCCCACCUUUGCUUCCAUUACAACCACAUAGCUGUAUAUUUCUGUAAGUUCCUGCAUUGUAUAAUCCCCAAUCCUCAGAUUUGUCACCUGUGUUCAAAAUGUUGGAGUUUGUAACAAUUGUAAUUUCAAAGAAGAGAAUAAAAAAUUGUAUUAAAAAAAAAAUUCUAAA